rnacentral:rRNA from 1 species
AUUGAACGCUGGCGGCAGGCCUAACACAUGCAAGUCGAACGGCAGCACAGAAGAGCUUGCUCUUUGGGUGGCGAGUGGCGGACGGGUGAGUAAUGUCUGGGAAACUGCCCGAUGGAGGGGGAUAACACUGGAAACGGUAGCUAAUACCGCAUAACGUCGCAAGACCAAAGUGGGGGACCUUCGGGCCUCACACCAUCGGAUGUGCCCAGAUGGGAUUAGCUAGUAGGUGGGGUAAUGGCUCACCUAGGCGACGAUCCUUAGCUGGUCUGAGAGGAUGACCAGCCACACUGGAACGGAGACACGGUCCAGACUCCUACGGGAGGCAGCAGUGGGGAAUAUUGCACAAUGGGCGCAAGCCUGAUGCAGCCAUGCCGCGUGUAUGAAGAAGGCCUUCGGGUUGUAAAGUACUUUCAGCGGGGAGGAAGGCGGUGAGGUUAAUAACCUUGCCGAUUGACGUUACCCGCAGAAGAAGCACCGGCUAACUCCGUGCCAGCCGCCGCAGUAA